rnacentral:rRNA from 1 species
CUAGCGAGACUGCCGGUAAUAAACCGGAGGAAGGUCGGGGAGUGACGUCAAAUCAUCAUGCCCUUAUGACCUGGGCUACACACGUGCUACAAUGGUUGGUACAACGAGUUGCGAGUCGGUGACGGCGAGCUAAUCUCUUAAAGCCAAUCUCAGUUCGGAUUGUAGGCUGCAACUCGCCUACAUGAAGUCGGAAUCGCUAGUAAUCGCGGAUCAGCACGCCGCGGUGAAUACGUUCCCGGGCCUU